ACAUGCAUGCCGUAUUGCCUAUUGGCACUCAUUAUUCAGACAUACUGGAAACAUCGUGCAUGGCCGCGCGAGCUAGCUCUGCUCUGAUGAUCAGAUCUGCUCGAAGUCCUGGAGCGCCCAGUGGCCGUCGGUGCCCUUGACCAUGAAGUUGUUCUUGGCGACCCACCAGGAGACGGGCACCGGGUACUGGUUUUUUAGCGCGUCCUCCCCCUUGUUGGCCAGCGCGACGUCGCGGUCCACCUCCAGCUUGAACCCUCCGGCGCUGCCCUGCUCGCCGGCGACGCCGUGGAGGUAGCACUCGAGGUUGUGCAGCGUCAAGAUCGUCCCGGGCUGCUUCAGGUACGGCGACCGCCCCGUCGCGAUGGGCAGCUGCACGGCCACGUCCACGUACCCGAGCGGCGGGUACGUCGGCACGACGUCGCCGGCGUUCUUCACGUGGAGCGCCCGCAGGUCCGGGAACGACGCGAACGCCCGCUUGAAGUUGCCGUCCCCGACGCGCGGGCUCGCGAACACGAAC
rnacentral:lncRNA from 1 species